GAGAGAGAGAAAGAGAGAAAGAAGAAAACGAUGAUGCAAACAAACAAACACAACAGGAUUUUGCAGCUUAAAGGAAAUCAAAAUCACUUAGAAAACAAGAAUCAUAUCAUCGAAGCACCUAAGGUAAUUCAAGACUAUAAUUUUCGCUAAUGGUCAAUUUACUCUUAGGGAAAAUGAGGGGAAAAUCGAAUUGAACAGUGAGAGAGAGAGAGA
rnacentral:misc_RNA from 1 species